rnacentral:rRNA from 1 species
UACGUAGGGUGCGAGCGUUGUCCGGAAUUAUUGGGCGUAAAGAGCUCGUAGGCGGCCUGUUGCGUCCGCUGUGAAAUCCCGGGGCUCAACCCCGGGCGUGCAGUGGAUACGGGCUGGCUAGAGGCAGGCAGGGGAGAACGGAAUUCCCGGUGUAGCGGUGAAAUGCGCAGAUAUCGGGAAGAACACCGGUGGCGAAGGCGGUUCUCUGGGCCUGUACUGACGCUGAGGAGCGAAAGCGUGGGGAGCGAACAGG